rnacentral:rRNA from 1 species
GACGUAGGGCGCGAGCGUUGUCCGGAUUUAUUGGGCGUAAAGAGCUCGUAGGCGGCUUGUUGCGUCGACUGUGAAAACCCGCGGCUCAACCGUGUGGUCUGCAGUCGAUACGGGCAGGCUGGAGUUCGGUAGGGGAGACUGGAAUUCCUGGUGUAGCGGUGAAAUGCGCAGAUAUCAGGAAGAACACCGAUGGCGAAGGCAGCUCUCUGGGACGGUACUGACGCUGAGACGCGAAAGCGUGGGGAGCGAACAGG